rnacentral:rRNA from 1 species
UAAGGAAUAUUGCGCAAUGGGCGAAAGCCUGAUGGAGCGAUGUCGCGUGAUGGACGAAGUGCUUCGGCACGUAAACAUCUUUUAUGUGGGAUGAAAUUAUUGACAGUACCACAUGAAUAAGGGGCUCCUAACUCUGUGCCAGCAGGAGCGGUAAUACAGAGGCCCCAAGCGUUAUCCGGAAUCACUGGGCGUAAAGGGUGUCGAGGCGGUUGUAUUAGUCGUUCGUAAAAUCUACGAGCUUAACUUGUAGGCGGCGAACGAAACGGUACGACUUGAGGUUUGGAGAGGUGCGUGGAACUCACGGUGUAGGGGUGAAAUCCGUUGAUAUCGUGGGGAACACCAAAGGCGAAGGCAGCGCACUGGCCAAAAUCUGACGCUCACACACGAAAGCUAGGGUAGCGAAGAGGAUUAGAUACCCCAGUAGUCCCUGAGCGGGCUGGCAAGGCGCAU